rnacentral:rRNA from 1 species
UACGAAGGGGGCUAGCGUUGCUCGGAAUCACUGGGCGUAAAGCGCACGUAGGCGGACUCUUAAGUCGGUGGUGAAAUCCUGGAGCUCAACUCCAGAACUGCCUUCGAUACUGGAGAGCUUGAGUCCGGGAGAGGUGAGUGGAACUGCGAGCGUAGAGGUGAAAUUCGUAGAUAUUCGCAAGAACACCAGUGGCGAAGGCGGCUCACUGGCCCGGUACUGACGCUGAGGUGCGAAAGCGUGGGGGAGCAAACAGG